UGGUGAUUCAUAAUAACUUCUCGAAUCGCAUGGCCUUGUGCCGGCGAUGGUUCAUUCAAAUUUCUGCCCUAUCAACUUUCGAUGGCAGGGUCUUGGCCUGCCAUGGUUACAACGGGUAACGGAGGGUUAGGGCUCGACCCCGGAGAAGGAGCCUGAGAAACGGCUACUACAUCCAAGGAAGGCAGCAGGCGCGCAAAUUACCCAAUCCCGAUUCGGGGAGGUAGUGACAAUAAAUACUGAUACAGGGCUCUUUUGGGUCUUGUAAUUGGAAUGAGUACAAUUUAAAUCCCUUAACGAGGAACAAUUGGAGGGCAAGUCUGGUGCCAGCAGCCGCGGUAAUUCCAGCUCCAAUAGCGUAUAUUAAAGUUGUUGCAGUUAAAAAGCUCGUAGUUGAACCUUGGGCCUGGCUGGCCGGUCCGCCUCACCGCGUGCACUGGUUCGGCCGGGCCUUUCCCUCUGGGGAACCUCAUGCCCUUCACUGGGUGUGAUGGGGAACCAGGACUUUUACUGUGAAAAAAUUAGAGUGUUCAAAGCAGGCCUAUGCUCGAAUACAUUAGCAUGGAAUAAUAGAAUAGGACGUGUGGUUCUAUUUUGUUGGUUUCUAGGACCGCCGUAAUGAUUAAUAGGGACAGUCGGGGGCAUUAGUAUUCAAUUGUCAGAGGUGAAAUUCUUGGAUUUAUUGAAGACUAACUACUGCGAAAGCAUUUGCCAAGGAUGUUUUCAUUAAUCANGAACCA
rnacentral:rRNA from 1 species